rnacentral:lncRNA from 1 species
AUGGAGUCAUUGGUGAUGAAACAAACAUAAUUUUAAGGGCUUUCAUUUUACUGGAAACUUCCUUGUGAGGUAGGUACAAUCAUCACCCCCAUAUUACAGAGGAAGACACUGAGGCACAUGAGUCAGUCCCUGCCAUUCUGAAGUGCCCGUGCUAGACUGGGGCUUGUAACAGGUGGGGAGAGAAGCCACCGUGCAGGACCUAUUUUGCUGGGGCGUGUGUAGCAGGCUCAGCCCAGCUCUGGACACAGUGGUUCUGGUGGUGGCUUCUGACUCUGGAUCACAGCCACAUAGAUGUAGCAGCAGUCACAGUCCCAGCAGCAAAGAGACGGUAUAUUCCCAUGUGCUAACUGAAGACUGUUUAAUAAAGGGACAGCUGGGGCAGGGUUAAAGGAACCCAGAAGAGACAGUGCUACACCCCAGGCUAGCAACAUGGGGAGCUGUUACUUCUUCAAAACCUAGAGGGUGAAGGAGGGAGUGGGUGGCAGAGCCCAGGAACAGAAUCACUGAAGCUCUAAGAGGGGCCUCGGGAUAGGAGCUGUGGCCUUUGGUAGAGGGACACAGCCAGCUCAUGGUGAACCAGCAGAAGGGCACAGCUGGAGGAAUCAAUGACCAAGCCUCACUCUCCUCCCUCCUGCCAGGGCCUCCCCUGCCCACAUCCAGCCAGAAGCCAGAGAAAAGAAGUCCCCUGCUGCGGCCCAUAGAUGUGAGGAGAGAAAAUGGUGGGGAGUGGAUCUGCAGAGGUGAACCUAAAGCAUUCAACCCAGAAAGCAUGCUUCUAGGGCCAGCCUGACUCGGCAGCUUCCUUCAGGAGCCAGCUCUGCAGUAUUCUUCCAAGAGUCCUUGCUGGAGGCGCUGCCUCCAGCCUUCCAACAGCUUGAGAAUCACACAGCUUCCUAUGUUAGAUUCCUUUCUCCUCCAAACAACUGAAGAGACUCUAAUCAUCGGCAACUGAAUCCCAAUUAACUUCGGAUUUGUUACCAGAAACAAUUGCAGGCAACACGACCUCCAGGAUGGGAACUGGGAUUGGUUACUUGUUCUGGUUGAUUUAAAGGCAGUGGGGACCUAGUAACUGUUAGAGAAUGGAGUUCUAAUAGAUCGUAGCCUGUGAUGGCAAAAUAAUUACCUGUCAUCACUCAGAACGAAGUACCUAUUAAAUUGUGGCUUUGGCAGAGUUGUGGCUUCCAUACGCAAUACGAGCACAGGUUAUCUAAGGACUGUGGGGUGAGCUUGUUAUCAUCACACCAAAGAGUUUAAAGCAAGAAAAGGACAGUCCCAGGGCUUUACAUUCUCAGCUCAAGGUAUGUGCAGAAUACAGGGAGUUCUCUGAUAGCCCUCAAAGCUAUCUCUCA